CUCGUAGGCGGUUUGUCACGUCGGAUGUGAAAACUCGGAGCUUAACUCCGGGCCUGCAUUCGAUACGGGCAGACUAGAGUUCGGUAGGGGAGACUGGAACUCCUGGUGUAGCGGUGGAAUGCGCAGAUAUCAGGAAGAACACCGAUGGCGAAGGCAGGUCUCUGGGCCGAUACUGACGCUGAGGAGCGAAAGCGUGGGGAGCAAACA
rnacentral:rRNA from 1 species